rnacentral:rRNA from 1 species
UGGGGAAUAUUGCGCAAUGGGCGAAAGCCUGACGCAGCAACGCCGCGUGAGUGAUGAAGGCCUUCGGGUCGUAAAGCUCUGUCGGAGGGAACGAAUGCUCUUGAGGUUAACAGCCUCGGGAGGUGACGGUACCCUCAAAGGAAGCACCGGCUAACUCUGUGCCAGCAGCCGCGGUAAUACAGAGGGUGCAAGCGUUGUUCGGAAUCAUUGGGCGUAAAGGGCGUGUAGGCGGUAUGUUAAGUCAUGUGUGAAAUCCCUCGGCUCAACCGGGGAACGACGCAUGAAACUAGCAAGCUAGAGUACCAAAGAGGGUGGUGGAAUUCCCGGUGUAGCGGUGAAAUGCGUAGAGAUCGGGAGGAACAUCAGUGGCGAAGGCGGCCAUCUGGAUCAACACUGACGCUGAGGCACGAAAGCGUGGGGAGCAAACAGGAUUAGAUACCCAUGUAGUCCCUGAGCGGGCUGGCAAGGCGCAU